rnacentral:rRNA from 1 species
AGUGAGUAACACGUGGGUGAUCUGCCUUGCACUCUGGGAUAAGCUUGGGAAACUGGGUCUAAUACCGGAUAGGAACCGUCUUUAGUGUGGUGGUUGGAAAGUUUUUUCGGUGCAAGAUGAGCUCGCGGCCUAUCAGCUUGUUGGUGGGGUAAUGGCCUACCAAGGCGUCGACGGGUAGCCGGCCUGAGAGGGUGUACGGCCACAUUGGGACUGAGAUACGGCCCAG